rnacentral:sRNA from 1 species
ACCCUGACUGCCUGGUGUGAUUGGCUUUGGUUCCUCUGCUGCACUCUUUUGUUGUCCAACAAUGAAUCAAACGUACUUGAAAGUACCCGGACAGUCGACCAUCUCAGGAAACAAGGAGAUGCGAUCUUUAUCAUCAUCACAAAUAUCCCUGUAUACAAUCAUAUCUUGCCAUUUCCAUAUUUACGGCUUUCACCUGCUGAGCUGACAGUAAAUUUCUGCUAGAUCAUGUUUCGUUGCGCAUCCCUGGUGGCCGCAUGUUUUGACAGUGCGAUCACCCAAAGAUGCUUCGCUCUCUACCUUGGGCAUCCAUCGUUCACCACCCACAAGGGUUCUUGCAUACAAUCACUUUGUUGAAUCUGUGGCUUUAGGAUGUAUGUGUACGGUAAAUGAGUAACUUCCAUUCUCAAUCUCACCGGUUGUAUCUAAGCGCGGAGUCGACCCUGAUGACUAUGCAAGAUUGGGAUCUAAUGGCAUUAAUCACUGCCACAUUGCUACUACCGAAAACUGUAGCUGAUGAAUAGAUAAGGUCCCUUGAAGGACGGGGAUCAGCAGGGAGGAGGAAUGGAAUGAUGAGAUAUCUCGAAUCUACACGGGUUUUCUUCUUGGGCCAUUUCCAUCACAAUGGCUAGUUGUUUUUGUAUUAAUGUCAUGUAUGCACUAUUCCUAUGUAUUAAAAUUAGCAGUUUUUGAAGGGAUAUAAUUAGGAUAAGGGGUGUAAUUAUCAAUCCCCUUGAAGGUGCAAUCUAGAAGUGUAAACUCCAUAACCGCAAAGUAAAAUUGGAAGG